rnacentral:rRNA from 1 species
CAGUCGCUGCGGGAAUACGGAGGGUGCAAGCGUUACUCGGAAUCACUGGGCGUAAAGGACGCGUAGGCGGAUUAUCAAGUCUCUUGUGAAAUCUUACGGCUUAACCGUUAAACUGCUUGGGAAACUGAUAACCUAGAGUAAGGGAGAGGCAGAUGGAAUUCUUGGUGUAGGGGUAAAAUCCGUAGAUAUCAAGAAGAAUACCUAUUGCGAAGGCGAUCUGCUGGAACUUAACUGACGCUAAUGCGUGAAAGCGUGGGGAGCAAACAGGAUUAGAGACCCCAGUAGUCCCUGUCUCUUAUAC